AGUAACGAAAACAUUGGUGAGAAUCCAAUGCCCCGAAAACCCAAGGUUUCCUCCGCAAGGUUCGUCCAUGGAGGGUGAGUCAGGGCCUAAGAUCAGGCCAAAAGGCGUAGUCGAUGGACAACAGGUCAAUAUUCCUGUACUACCCCUUGUUGGUACGGAGGGACGGAGGAGGCUAGGUUAGCCGAAAGAUGGUUAUAGGUUUAAGGACACAAGGUGACCCUGCUUUUUCAGGGUAAGAAGGGGUAGAGAAAAUGCCUCGAGCCGAGGUCCGAGUACCAAGCACUGCAGCGCGGAAGUAUGAGCCCCGUGGACUAGCGAUUGCUUCUCCACGAGGCUCAUACCAGGCGCUACGGCGCUGAAGUAUGUAACUGAUGCCAUACUCCCAGGAAAAGCUCGAACGACCUUCAACAAAAGGGUACCUGUACCCGAAACCGACAUAGGUGGGUAGGUAGAGAAUACCUAGGGG
rnacentral:rRNA from 1 species